AAGCUUAGAGUUUGAUCAUGGCUCANAUUGAACGCUGGCGGCAGGCUUAACACAUGCAAGUCGAACGGUAACAUGAGUGCUUGCACUUGAUGACGAGUGGCGGACGGGUGAGUAAUGUAUGGGGAUCUGCCGAAUGGAUUGGGACAACAGUUGGAAACGACUGCUAAUACCGAAUAAUGUUGCGAGACCAAAGGGUGCUUACGGGCACUUGCCAUUUGAUGAACCCAUAUGAGAUUAGCUAGUUGGUGGGGUAAAGGCUCACCAAGGCGACGAUCUCUAGCUGGUCUGAGAGGAUGACCAGCCACACUGGAACUGAGACACGGUCCAGACUCCUACGGGAGGCNAACAGUGGGAAAUAUAAAACAAAUCGGGGAAACCCUGAUGCAACNCAUGCCCCCUGUAUGAAGAAAGCCUUAGGGUUGGAAAGAACUUUCGGUGAUGGAGGAACCUAAAUGUGGGAUAACUCACAUAUAAUAGACGUCAGUUACAGAACAAGCACCCGGCUAACUCCGUGCCAGCAGCCGCGGUAAUACGGAGGGUGCAAAGCGUUAAUCGGAAGGACUCGGCCGUAAAGGGCAUGUAGGCGGAUGAAUAACCUAGGUCUCAAACCCUCGGGCUCAACCNUGAGAAUAGCANUUUAAAACUGCUCAUCUGGAGCACAGUAGACGGAGGUAGAAUUCCACGUGUAGGCGGUGAAAUGCGUAGAGAUGUGGAGGAAUACCGGCGGCGAAGGCGGCCUUCUGGACAGAUANCUGACGAUGAGAUGCGAAAGCCUGGGGAGCAAACAGGAUUAGAUACCCUGGUAGUCCACGCUGUAAACGAUGUCGAUUUGGAGUUUGUUGCCUAGAGUGAUGGGCUCCGAAGCUAACGCGAUAAAUCGACCGCCUGGGGGAGUACGGCCGCAAGGCUAAAACUCAAAUGAAUUGACGGGGGCCCGCACAAGCGGUGGAACCAUGUGGUUUAAUUCGAUGCAACGCGAAGAACCUUACCUGGUCUUGACAUCCACAGAAUCUUUCAAAAAAUGAGGGAGUGCCUUCGGGAACUGUGAAACAGGUCCUGCAUGGCUGUCGUCAGCUCGUGUUGUGAAAUGUUUGGGUUAAGUCCCGCAACGAGCGCAACCCUUAUCCUUUGUUGCCAGCGANUAGGUCGNGAACUCAAAGGAGAUUGCCGUUGAUAAAACGGAGGGAGGUGGGGACGNCGUCAAGUCAUCAUGGCCCUUACNACCAGGGNUACACACGUGCUACAAUGGCGUAUACAAAGGGAAGNGAAGGUGCGAGCUGGAGCGGACCUCCUAAAGUACNUCUAAGUCCGGAUUGGAGUNUGCGACUNGACUCCAUGAAGUCGGAAUCGCUAGUAAUCGUGAAUCAGAANGUCACGGUGAAUACGUUCCCGGGCCUUGUACACACNCGCCCGUCACACCAUGGGAUGUGGGUUGCACCAGAAGUAUGAUAGCUUAACCGCAAGGGGGGCGUUUAGCCNCCGGUGUGAUUCAUGAAC
rnacentral:rRNA from 1 species